rnacentral:tRNA from 1 species
CGGGCUGUAGCACAGUGGCUAGUGCGCUCGCUUUGGGAGCGAGAGGUCGUGGGUUCGAAUCCCACCAGCCCGA